CUCGCGGAGGCGAGUGCGCAGGCGCGGGGGACGCGCGGAGCUGAGCGGGUGGGUGCCGCGAGGACACGACGCGGGAGGACGGGGAAAGGCUCACAGGAGACCUCCUGAUCAGGCCCACCUGUGAAGGACUGCAGGCGGCAAGAAACUAACAUUUGCUUAGUACCAGCACGACUCAGUGCUGAGUUCUUGGAAAGAAUUAUUUUGUGGACAGGAUUGUGCUGCUUAAUUUGGAGUGUGUGUAACAGACACAAACAGCUAUGGGAAACCACAGGAUGGACGUGAUGCCACUUCCUGGAGCAAUCCAUUUUACUUGAGGAAUCAGAAGGGAAGCGCCAAGCAAUGUACUUAUCUGCCCCUUCUUCUCAGCACUCUGCCCCUCUCCAGAUUUGAACCCUCAAGGGGGAGGAAAGGAUGCCUGCUGCACGUGGGAAAUCCAAGUCCAAGGCACCAGUGACGUUUGGGGAUUUGGCCAUCUAUUUCUCCCAGGAGGAAUGGGAGUGCCUGAGCCCCAUUCAGAAAGACCUAUACGAAGAUGUCAUGUUGGAAAACUACCAGAACCUGGUGUCUCUUGGACUUUCCUUUCGGAGGCCGAAUGUGAUCACCUUAUUGGAAAAGGGGAAAGCGCCCUGGAUGGUGGAGCCAGUGAAAAGACGCCGGGGCUUGGAUGAGGAAGCUGAAGACCAGAGAGGUUCAGUGACUUGCUUAAGAUCAUCCAGCUAGGAAGUGGCAGCAGAGCUGGGUUUGAACUCCAGUUUCUGGUCUCAGAAGCUCAGCUUUGGAUAGCCUCAUCCACCUAUCAAGUCUCCUGCCUUAGCUUUCAUACUUCCCUUUAGAGAAAGUGUAUUCUGACUUCUGUCAUGAUAGCAUUUCUAAUGGUCAUACUUGCAUCAUUUUCUCCGUUCCUUUAAAAAAAAUUAAAAGUAUUUUCCCAUAACUUUUAUUUUGUCUGCUUUUCAAGUACCUGCUCCCUUUUCUAGUAGAGUCCUCUUUGGUUGCUGAAGUUAACAGGUUUUUUUUAUUUUUUGUAAUUUUUUUGUUUUCACAGUUUUAUGAGUUUAUUUUUUUAACUGUGGUAAAAAAACAAAACAAAACAGGUAACAUAUUUACCAUCUUAAUCAUUUUUAAAUGUGCAGUUAAGAAUUCAUAUUGUCAAGCAAGAGAUGUCUAGAAGUUUUUACAAUUGCAAUCCUGAAACUAUACCCACAAAGUACUAAUUCUUCCAAUACCUCCACCCUACCCUGUAUGAUUUUGACAACUAUGGAUACUUCAUACUUCAAAUGCAGUAUUUGACCUUUUGUGACUGGCUUUUUUCGCUAAGCAUGAUAUCCGCAAAGUUCACCCAUGUUGUAGUAUAUGACAGGAUUUUCUUCUUUUUUUAAGGCUACAUAAUAUUCCAUUGUAUGUAUAUACCACAUUUUCUUUAUCCAUUCAUCUGUCAGUGGACAUUUGGGUUGCUUCCACCUCUUGGCUACCGUGAAUCAUGCUGCAGUGAACAUGGGAGUACAGAUAUCUCUUCGAGAUCCUGAUUUCAAUUCCUUUGGAUAUGUACCAAGAGACUUAGGGUCUAAGUGUGAGACCAAGAAGUUACCUCCAAAUCAGUGCAACAAAUCUGGGCAAAGCGUCUCUCAGAAACCAGUUUCUGCACCACAAAAAGUUCCCACAGGAAAGAGAGGCUGCAAGAAAAAUUCAGUCCUAAUAAAACCCAAGAAGAUUCAUUCAAAGAAGAAAUCUUUAAAGUGUAAUGACUGUGGGAAAUUCUUUAGUCAAAGCUUAUCUCUUAAACUUCAUCAGAACUGCCAUACUGGAGAGAAGCCUUAUGAAUGCAGUGAUUGUAGAAAAGCUUUCAGACAGAUCUCAUCUCUCAUUCUUCAUCAGAAAAUUCACAGUGGAAGGAAAAGCUAUGAAUGUGAUAAAUGUGGAGAAAGUUUCAUUCGAAGAACGAGCCUUAUUCUACAUGGGAAGAGUCAUGAUGAAAAAGAAAUCCUUGACUGUGGGAAGGAAUUGAGUCAAUGCCCACCUCUCAGUAUACAUCGAAAAAUUCACUUUGUCAAAAAUGUGUACCAGUGCAGAAAGUGUGAGAAAGCCUUCAUUCGAAUGUCAUCUUUUUUACUUCACAAGAAAAUUCACAAUGGGAAGAAAAUGCACAAAUGCAAUAAAUGUGGUCGAGGCUUCAGGAAGAAAUCAGUCCUUGUUAUACAUAAAAGAAUUCAUACUGGAGAGAAAACUCAUGAAAAUGAGAAGGCCUUAAGUAUGAGUCUGCAGCAGAAAAGUCACCAUUUAGGGAAUCCUUAUAAAUGCAGAAAAUGUAAGAAAUCCUUUAGUAGGAUUUCAUCCAUUAUACUUCAUCAGAGAAUUCACAGAUCAAAGAAAGCCUACAAGUGUGAUAAAUGUGAGAAGGUCUUCAGGCGGCUUUCAACUCUUAUUCUACAUCUAAGAAUUCAUAAUAGAGAGAAACGGUACAGAUGCAGUAAAUGUGAGAAGGUCUGCAAUCGGCAUUCAUCCCUUAUUCAGCAUCAGAAAAUUCACGCAAGGAAAAAGAAACUGUUUGAAUGUAAGGAAUGUGGGAAGAUGUUUUCUGGAACUGCCAACCUUAAAAUACAUCAGAAUAUUCAUUCUGAAGAGAAACCUUUCAAAUGCAAUAAAUGUAGUAAAGUUUUUGGCCGCCAGUCAUUUCUUAUUGAACAUCAGAGAAUUCAUACUGGAGAAAAACCCUAUCAGUGUGAAGAAUGUGGGAAAGCCUUCAGUCACCGAAUAUCUCUAACCCGACAUAAGAGAAUUCAUACUGAAGAUAGACCCUAUGAAUGUGAUCAGUGUGGGAAGGCCUUCAGUCAGAGUGCACACCUCGCCCAACACGAAAGAAUUCACACUGGAGAGAAACCUUAUACAUGCAAAACGUGUGGGAAAGCCUUUAGCCAACGCACAUCCCUUAUUCUACAUGAAAGAAGUCAUACUGGAGAGAAACCCUAUGAAUGUAAUGAAUGUGGUAAGGCAUUUAGCAGUGGCUCAGAUCUUAUUCGGCAUCAGAGAAGUCAUUCUUCAGAGAAACCCUAUGAAUGUAGUAAAUGUGGGAAGGCUUAUAGUCGGAGCUCAUCCUUGAUUCGACAUCAGAAUUCACAUUCUGAAGAAAAGGCAUAAAAUUAUUUUUAAAUAAAGCAAAGAGGGAUGCUGGCAAAGUAGCAGAGACAAGCAUGGAAAAAUGCAUUUGUCCAUAACAUAAAUUGUGUAAAAAUGGGACAGUUUAAUGAUGUGUUCCAGUUUGAAAGCCAAAGAAAAAAAGACAUUAAUAGUUUUAACCUGAGGAUUUGAAUCAGCUGAGGCAGUGGCUUUACCAUAGGUCUUAGUUUUAAAGUAGCAAGCUCAGAUGAUUGGCUCAGUCAUUUUUAAUGAAGAGCAUUCUUCAUUUGAUAAACAUCACCAACACUUUAUUUCCAGUGUAAUUUUAAACUAUUUCAUUGGUCAGAUACAACAAAGUGAAUUGUAAAUCGUUUUUUUCUGGAUGGAGCUUUGAGCCUAAUUAAAGAUCACAUAAAGAGUUUGAGUUUGUCUCUUAGAACCAAAAGUACCACACAGAAUGGAUUUCCUCCACAAACUAGGGUACUACUUUGAGCUGACAGAUACUCGUGGAUGAGAAUAAAGAUUGUGUGGACUCAGUUGUGUGGAGCAGUAGAGUCAUUAACAUACUCUGGAUAUGAACAUAUAUGACCUUCAGGGUGUGAAAAUCUAAUGAGCCUGGACAAGCUAAUUGGGAGAAAAAAACAAGAAGAACGAGGAACUUCAGAGCAGGGAAAAAUUGUUGUUUUACUUGGAAAUGAAUUUAUAUUUAUAUGAAUAAACAUUGGUAUUUUCAUAUAAGAACACUGGUGUGCAACAAGUGAUUAGCGGAGAAUGGGACGACAUGGACCAAAUAUGUCCUUCCAAAAUUGGUGUGUUUAAAACCCUAAGCUCUAAUGUGAUGGUAUUUGGAUUUGAGGCCUUUGAGAGAUGAUAAGGGUUGGAUGAGGUCAUGAGGGUGGAGCCCUCAUGAUAGGAUUAAUAUUUUUAAAGGAAGAGACAUCAGAGAACUUGUUGAUUCUCUCUCUGCCAUGUGAGGACACAGCAGGAAGGUGGCUAUCUACCAGCCAGGAAACUAGGCCCUCACCAGUAUCCAACCUUGUGGCCUCCUCAUCUCAGACUUUCAGCCUGCAAAACUGUGAGAAAUUGCUUUUAAGUCACCCCAUCUAUGGUAUUUUGUUAUGGCAACCCCAAGACUCAUACAUGAGAAAAAAACCUGCUUUGGUGUGCUAGGCUUUUUUCUUGUCAGUUUUUUACCAUAUGUAUAAUCGUUUUCAGUUCCUCGUUCCAGUUUGUGCAAAAUAUGUAAGAAAUAAAGUCAGAGUUCUCUUUUGUAAUUGAGUUACAG